UUAAGUAGACCGCCUGGGGAGUACGGCCGCAAGGUUAAAACUCAAAUGAAUUGACGGGGGCCCGCACAAGCGGUGGAGCAUGUGGUUUAAUUCGAUGCAACGCGAAGAACCUUACCUGGUCUUGACAUCCACAGAAGAAUCCAGAGAUGGAUUUGUGCCUUCGGGAACUGUGAGACAGGUGCUGCAUGGCUGUCGUCAGCUCGUGUUGUGAAAUGUUGGGUUAAGUCCCGCAACGAGCGCAACCCUUAUCCUUUGUUGCCAGCGGUCCGGCCGGGAACUCAAAGGAGACUGCCAGUGAUAAACUGGAGGAAGGUGGGGAUGACGUCAAGUCAUCAUGGCCCUUACGACCAGGGCUACACACGUGCUACAAUGGCGCAUACAAAGAGAAGCGACCUCGCGAGAGCAAGCGGACCUCAUAAAGUGCGUCGUAGUCCGGAUUGGAGUCUGCAACUCGACUCCAUGAAGUCGGAAUCGCUAGUAAUCGUGGAUCAGAAUGCCACGGUGAAUACGUUCCCGGGCCUUGUACACACCGCCCGUCACACCAUGGGAGUGGGUUGCAAAAGAAGUAGGUAGCUUAACCUUCGGGAGGGCGCUUACCACUUUGUGAUUCAUGACUGGGGUGAAGUCGUAACAAGGUAACCGUAGGGGAACCUGCGGUUGGAUCACCUCCUUACCUGAAAGAAG
rnacentral:rRNA from 1 species